rnacentral:lncRNA from 1 species
CUCAACUGGUCCUGCACGGCCUGGCCCAGGAGCGCGUUUUGCACCCAGCCGUUUAGCACGGCUUUCACAGACAUGUCGCAGGCACCAGAAAAUGGGAGCAAUGAAGCAACAGCCAGAUGACUUGGGAAAAAAAGACGGUCUGAGGGGCUGGGGGCUCAGUGCUGCCUCGGCUGCCCGCCCGGGGAGGAGGCCUGGGUUGCUCCCGCUCACAGCCAAGAGGUGCCGGGGGCCAGGAGCCCAGGGCCUCGCCUCGGACACUCGGCUUUCCUAGGACAAUCGCUGCCCUAAGGGCUCCUCCGCCUUGCUGGGAGAGCUCGUGGGAAGGGUCUUUCCCACAGCCCGGUGACGGCAGGGUCUCAUGGCCGAGGCUGCUGGGGUCCUCGUCCCUGCUCAUGGCCUGCCCUGUUCCUCUCCUCUCAGAAGCCCUGGACUCCUGAUGUCCCCUCACCUGCUUCCUGCCCUCCCUGCUGGGCAGAGCCUCGGCCGAUGCCACCGUCAGCAGAUCGGGAACAUGAUCCACUCGCCUGACACUCAGGGAUGGUGACCUGCAGACUCAUGGGCCACACAAAGCCGUGGAAGACAGUGUCAGGCUGGCAAGGAGGACUUUCUCCAGGGGACAGGAAGAGGCCCGGCCACACCAGUCCGAGGCGUGGCCUCCCUGGCCGCUGCCCUUCUGGCACAGAGAGCUGGAAGGAGCCCGGCAUGCGCUGCGAGCCCCAAGUGUAAACGGGAGGCAGGCCGAGCUCUCGCUGGCCUUCUCCCUCCCGUCCUCCCUCUGGCUGCACUCAGCUUGCGAAGCACCGUGCUUGCCUGCUUUUCUAUAGUUGGCUUCUCUUUUUUUGGUACCGGGGAUUGAACUUGGGACCUCGUGCUUGGAGGCAGGUGCCAGAACCACUGAGCUACAUCCCGGGCCCUGCCUGGUUUUCUUAAGAUUCUUUGUUUUUUGCUAUAAUUGAAAAAAACCCCAAUAGAUAAAACAAGUGCUAGUGAGCUUUUAGUGACCCCAACUGUUAAAGUAUAGCUGUACGCAUUGUUUAAUGUGAUUUAUACAAUAGAUCAGUAAGUGACUGGAUUUGUUAUCCUACACUCAAUACAAAUCAAUAGAAUUCAG